CUUAAGAAAACCACCCACAGUCACUUGUUUUCUGAUUUUUUAUUAUAACUUCCAGUCUUGUCACUACAACAAAAAAGCGUUUUUGCAACAUGUAAAAGGCAACAUUCAUUAAUUAAAUAUUGCGAAAAGGUAUAUUGCAAUAUUCUAAUAAAAAUUAUCUUACCCAUUAUCUUUAGCGUCAUCCCAGCCCGUAAUAUCCCAAUUCUGGAAUGUUGUCCCUCUUAAUGAAUAUUCUUUCCUAUUGUCUUUGCUAUUGCAAUCAUCCCAGGAAUCAUAACUGACAGAGUUAAAUUGUUUAGCAGAUGAUUGCUGUGCCACAUUUGAAGAAUUCCAUCCUUUAGACUGUGACUACUGUCCAAAUUCCUGAUAGUAACCGGUUAUCUCAUUUUCAUUUUGUUAUUAGCCAUCAUUAUUCCAGUCAGAGGCUUCUUUAGUGUACUCCUCAAGCUUUUGUGAAGAGUAAGCAAUUACUUCUUUCAUUAGUCCCCAUGUCUUAUAACUAAUCUUUGGAAUUUUUACAGUUACA
rnacentral:lncRNA from 1 species